CUAAAUACUACCCAGUGACCGAUAGCGUAUAGUACUGUGAAGGAAAGGUGAAAAGCACCCCGGGAGGGGAGUGAAAAAGAACCUGAAACCCUGUGCCUACAAGCACCUAGAGCACGUCAAUGUGUGAUAGGGUACUUUUUGUAGAACGGUCCGGCGAGCGAUUGUAUGCAGCAAGGUUAAGGACUUAAGGUCUGGAGCCGAAGCGAAAGCGAGUUUGAAAAGGGCGUUAAGUUGCAUAUAAUGGGCCCGAAACCGGGUGACCUACCCAUGGUCAGGUUGAAGUGGAAGUAAAAUUCCAUGGAGGACCGAACCGACCUCCGUUGAAAAGGCGGCGGAUGAACUGUGGGUAGCGGAGAAAUUCCAAUCGAACCCGGAGAUAGCUGGUUCUCCCCGAAAUAGUUUUAGGACUAGCCUCAAGUUAGAUACCUGGAGGUAAAGCACUGAAUAGCCUAGCGGCCGAGAGGUUAGCGAAGCUUAUCAAACUCAGAAUGCCAGAGUAUUGAUGCUUGGGAGUCAGACAGUGUCAGAUAAAUGUCAUUGUCAAAAGGGAAACAGCCCAGAUCUACAGCUAAGGUCCCAAAGUCAGGUUAAGUGGAAAACGAUGUGAAGAUACGUAGACAACCAGGAUGUUGGCUCAGAAGCAGCCACUCAUUCAAAGAGUGCGUAAUAGCUCACUGGUCGAGCGUCUUUGCGCGGAGAAUUUAACGGGGCUAAACCUGACACCGAAGCUUAGGCAAUACAGCAAUGUAUUGGGUAGGGGAGCGUUGUAUACGCGGUGAAACAGUAGCGCAAGCGGCUGUGGAGUGUAUAGAAGUGAGAAUGCCGGAAUGAGUAGCGCGAAUGCAGUGAGAAUCUGCAUGGCCGAAAGCCUCAGGUUUCUGGAGGAAGGUUCGUCCGCUCCAGGUUAGUCGGGAGCUAAGGUGAGGCCGAAAGGCGUAGCCGAUGCACAGACGGUAGAGAUUCCGUCACCACCAAAAGAGUUAAGCACAGGGACACAUUUGAAGUCUCAGAGCCGGGUGUUGGUUCCGGUAGAGAUCGAGGGAAAUUAGUACCGAAGUCUGAGAUGGAAGAUGGCGAGAAAAGCUGUGUGUAUUUCUGAGGUGCCCGUACCGCAAACCGACACAGGUAGGUAGGAAGAAGAUUCUAAGGCCAACGGGAGAAGGGUUGUUAAGGAACUCGGCAAAUUGACCCCGUAACUUCGGGAGAAGGGGUGCUCCAGAGAUGGAGCCGCAGAGAAUCGGCCCAAGCAACUGUUUACCAAAAACACAGGUUUGUGCUAAAUCGAAAGAUGACGUAUACGAGCUGACGCCUGCCCGGUGCUGGAAGGUUAAAAGGAGAUGUGCAAGCAUUGAAUUGAAGCCCCAGUGAACGGCGGCCGUAACUAUAACGGUCCUAAGGUAGCGAAAUUCCUUGUCAGGUAAGUUCUGACCCGCACGAAAGGCGUAAUGAUUUGGGCACUGUCUCAACAGCCCGCCCGGCGAAAUUGUAGUACCGGUGAAGAUGCCGGUUACCCGCGACAAGACGGAAAGACCCCAUGGAGCUUUACUGUAGCCUAAUAUUGGGUUUCGAUGUUGCAUGCACAGGAUAGAUGGGACACAGGGAAACAAUCGCUUUGGCGGUUGCGGAGUGGCCGUUGGGAUACCAUCCUUGCGAUAUUGGAAUUCUAACCUGCGGCUCUGAAUCGAGUCGGGGGACAUUGUUAGGUGGGCAGUUUGACUGGGGCGGUCGCCUCCUAAAGA
rnacentral:rRNA from 1 species